GCCGCAAUAGCUCAGUUGGUAGAGCACAUCACUCGUAAUGAUGAGGUCGUCGGUUCAAGUCCGACUUGCGGCU
rnacentral:tRNA from 1 species